rnacentral:pre_miRNA from 1 species
CAUUAUCAAUUGACAACGAGAGAGAGCACGCUCGUUGGCAUUCUUGCAAGGACAUGGAUGUGUACAAGCGUGCUCUCUAUCGUUGUCAUAUGAUAUGUAC